UGCGCAGGCGGGGCAAUAAGUCAGUGGUGAAAUCCUGCGGCUUAACCGUAGAACUGCCAUUGAUACUGUUGCCCUUGAGUAUAGUUGAGGUGGGCGGAAUAUGUAAUGUAGCGGUGAAAUGCAUAGAUAUUACAUAGAACACCAAUUGCGAAGGCAGCUCACUAAGCUAUCACUGACGCUGAGGCACGAAAGCGUGGGGAGCGAACAGGAUUAGAUACCCCUGGUAGUCC
rnacentral:rRNA from 1 species